AACACGAGGGGGCGUGCGAGUACGCACUUGGGUGCUAGCGGGAAGAGCCGUUGGGCUACGGGAGUCGCCCCGCCCCCUGCGUCUCAUUGGUAAAGACGCAACACGUCCUUCGAGACGCAGGAGCGCGCACCGUCGCGAUGACGUCACCUGCGCGCCCUCAUGUCUGGCCAAAAGGAACUUGCACCAGCUAGAUCAAAAUAGCGGCUUUUAUUUCACAUUCCUCAAUACACAGUGCAUUGAAGUAUCUUCAGGAUCUGCAUGUGGAGUAUAGAUACCAAGUGUAAUCAAGGACAACUCCCAGGUUCUUAGUCCAAGAACUGGAAGGUCGAAGCUGAUAUUUAAUGAAAUGGAGAACUCUGCAAGAGCAGGUUUGGGAGCAAGGAAGCCUUGGAAUUCAGUUCUGGCCUGAAGGAGCAGAGAUGGUUCUGAUUUUAGAACAGAGGGAAGAAAGAGCACAGUGGAGCCACAUCAUGGCCCUUAAGGCUUCUUCUCAGGCUGGCACAAGUCACUUCUACUCAUAUGUCAUUGAUCAAAGUAAGUCACCUGGCCAACUCUGACAUCAAGAUUAAGUAUAAUCCUAGGACUGUAAAAAGCAGAAGGCAAAAAAUAUUUCAGAUAAUAAUACAGUACACUGCAGAUGCCUAUUUGACAUUUAAGUGGCAAUGUCACUAGGUAGUUGGAUGUAUGAAUCUGAAGGUCAGGAGAGAAAUCCAGGCUGCAUAUAUGAAUUUUAGAAUCUUUAGCAUGUAAUAUUUACAUUCCUGAAGUUAGAAGAGAUCACCAAAGGAGUAAGUAUAAGUAAAGUUCAGAGGACUGAGCCAGGGGCACUCUGGCAAUUUAGAAAUCAGAAAAGUGAGAAAUAAUCAACCAUGACUGAGAAAGAGUGGCCCUGGAGUAAGUGGUGUGCUGGAGGUAAAGCAAAGAUGAUCUCGGAUAAGAGGGGGUGAUGAGCUCUGUCAAAGCCUGCUGAUAGGAUACAAAGAGGACUGGCAGUUGAGUGGAAGUUGUUGUAAAGCUGAGAAAAGCAGUUUUACUGCUGGGGUUGGGGAAGAAGCCUCAUUCUAGUGGGUUUAAGAGAGAAUGGUAGUAAAUGAAGUAAAGGGAGCAAAUGUGAACAAAUUAUUCACAGGAAGAAAAAAGAAGGUACUGAAAGAAUGCCAAAGACAUAGCUACACUGGUAAAGAUCAGAGAAGCAGAGAUGCUGGAGUUCUGAGGACAGGAGCAGAGUGGCUGUUGCCAACUCAAAUACACAUCAUUUAAGUGCAUCUACUCAGGUGUCUCCAUUCCUCACCAUCUGAGGAAGCUACAUCAACCCACCACCCUUUCCCGAUCAAUUAACUCCACCUUUAUUACAUUUAAAAGUUUCUUUCCUUGUACAUCUUCUCUAAACCCCUGGUCUUGGAGUGCCCCAGAUUUUACUCCUUGCUCUUCUUCUCUAUCUGCAUUCACUUCCUUGAUCUUAUCCAGUCUCAAAGCUUGAAACAUCUAUAUGCCAUGACUCCCACAUUUCUAACUUUAUUCAUCCUUUUCUUCACAUCACAAUCCAACUGCAUACUUGGUAUUUCCAUUUGGGUGUCCAAUAGAUUGAACUCCUGCUGAUAACCCUACUAUAAACCUCUUAUUCACAGACCUCUGACCUCGGCUGAUGGCACUCUGAUCCUUCCACUUCUAGAUUCUGUGACUCCUCUGCUCAAAACCUCCAAUCCCAUAGGCAGAAUGAUUAAGAAACUUGCCCAGUGUCAUCCCAUUAAUCAAUGACAGAGGUGAGACCCCAACUCAAGCAGCUUGAUGGGAACCUGUGCUCUGCACCACAGUACUUUGACACAUGCAUAUGCUCAGGUUACACGAUGUUACGUCUAGUAUGAGUCCCUGUUAUAUAGACAUAUGGAUUUGUAAGAAAAUGCGAAAAGGAUAUAUACCAAUAUAUUUGCACUGUGAUCUCUGGAUGGAUAAGUUAUGGUUUGAUGUUUUUCCUUGAUUUUGUUUAUGUGUAUUUUUUACAUCUUCAACAAUGAAAAUAUAUUACAUUUACCACAAGGAAAAUAUCCUUACAGAUUUUUUUAAAAUUCAGGAUUCCAGAUGAACUUCAUUCCCUUUAAUCAUUCUGUUUAAUAAAUAAACAUCUCAUUCCAUAAAUUUUUGAGUUGCUCAACCCCGAUAUCAGAAAGUACAGGACAUUUUCAGGCAAAUUUUCGUAUUUUUGGCAGAGAUGGACUAUAGAACUGGUACAACUAUACGUCGGAUACAGUAUAGUGUGUCUCUUCCCUUUUCAGUGAGAUAGGGAAAGUGUGUGGGUGGAUUUAUCUUAAUCUCACACUGUGUCUCCACAGUAGACACCCUUCUCCACAUCCUAAAUAGAAAUUUCCUAAACAUAAAUACAAAGACCUUCCCUGGCUUCUAUUUUGUAAAUGGAGAUAACUUUUUGCUAUUUCACCAGUGUCUCAAGAAUAUUUGAUUUUUCUUUUCUUUUAAUUUUUAAAAAAUAUUUAUUUUUGAAAGCUAGAGAGAGCAUGAGUGUGAGUGACUGAGGGGCAGAGAGAGGGACACAGAGAAUCCAAAGCAGGCUCCAUGCUGUCAGUGCAAAGCCUGAUGCGGGGCUUGAACCCAGGACCCACAAGAUCAUGACUGAGCCAAAAUCAGACUCUCAACUGACUGAGCCACCCAGGUGCCCUAAGAAAAUUUGAUUUUUCUGAAGGUAAGAGGAAAACAAGCAUGAACACAUUUCUCCUUCCCUAAGAAAAGCAGUAUUAAAAGGAAAUAUUUCAGGCUAAAAUGGCUAUUGCCUGGUACUAAAUAUUAGAUGUGAACUGGCCUCCAUCUGUUGGAAUGAGUGACAUGUCAGGCAAAGGAAGGGGAGGGAGGAGUGCUUAUCUGUGGGAAAGGAGAGAAAUUUCCAGUUUCUGGUUACUGGGCUGCCUUACUUAAAACUCUCUUUGAAUAAAUAUUGGCAAGUGGCCCAGAGUCCCAACUUGUGGCUGUUUGAGCUUUGCUAAAGUGCUUGAAGGAAAGUCCUGAAUUGUUGUUCUUAAAUGGAAACUGUGUAAGUCAUUUGUAGUGGAAAGGAUGACAAAAGAAAAAAAAAAUCCCUUCUUACAACAACUUUGAUUCCAGCCAUUCCCCUGAUGAAUUAUUUUGUUUAUUUGUGUAGAGGUGUAAUGCAAACAUUUCUGCUUUUUUUUCCCCCAUAGUGCUUUCCUGAAAGCCACGUCUUCAAACAAAUUGUUGAAAGUAAUUCUUACUUUAUCAGGAACAAGGUUACACUUGGACUUUGUAUUUUUGAUAAAGAAUUCAGCAUAAACAAAGUUUGAUAUAACCAACACCCUAAUCAGUAGUACUAACUUACCUUUGGCAUUUUAUAAUUUUCUAAAGCACUUUCUUGUAUGUACAUUAAUUUGAUUCUCUGACAAUGCAGAGAGGUAGAUAUUAUUGUCCCUAGUUUAGAAGUGGAUAAAAUGGGACCCAGGAAGAUGAACCAACCUACUCAGGAUCAAUUUAAUUGGUGGUUGAUAGAGGGGGCUAUCCUCCACCCCUUCAGUAGGACCAGAGGUACUUUCUGUUGCCCCCAAUGGACAGAAGACAGCUACUAUGUAAAUUAGCACACCCCACCAUCUUGAAGUUAGUGUCAAUUUUUAGUCAGAUCCACACUUGCAUUUCUUUAUAACUUCAAGGCCAAAUAACUCAUCUACACCAUUCAUUCCUGUUCUUAUUACUUACCCUCAAACUCUUUACUCGUACAUAAAUUUUCUAUGCUUCUUUCCCCCAGCUUCUUUCCACCGCUGACCUCUUUGAAACUCUUUCCACUGCAGAAGCCACAGUUUCAUCGUAAGCACUCUCUACAGCCUCAACAUCCUCAUAGAGCCAUACCUUCACUUUCUUGCCUCAAGUGAAACCUGGCUUUUCCCCCAAAGACAUCACUUCCCUUGAGCCCUGACAAACAAAAACUGCUUUUUCCCCUGCCUUUCAACAUGCUGAGAGGUAUGUGGAUGCAGUGUUGAUAUUCUCCUAGCUUCUAGCUGUCAGUUCCAGGUGAUUCCAUUCUUACCUGUAUGAAACUCCCCACUUUAUGCCCCCUUCUGAGUCUCGUGCUGUAGCAUGAAGUGUAAUCAUCAUCAUCCACCAGCUCAAGGUCACUCCCCCAGAUUCACUGAAAGCUUCAGCACCUGGCCCACACAAAUGCUGCCAGACUCCCACUGUAAUCUCAGACAGCCUUCAUGCCCAUGAUUCACAGCUCCUUAAGCACCUGGAUUCCAUUGCCCUUUGCCUCCAUUCCUCUUUAACCCAACUCAUUCCUGUGGCAAAAUCCUAAUUUUAUGUUUACUCACAUGCUCUGAAAACCAGAACUCUAGUGACCCUUCACACCUCUGCAACUUUGACACUUUCCUGACUUCUUAGUAAUUUCUGUUCUUGAUCUUUCUUCAAUUCUUUGAGUUGCCCUCCCAUCUUCACUUUCAUCCUUGCCCAGCAUAGAUCCCAAAGGCCCAUAAGUUCUCCGACUGUGGCUUCUGGGUACCCACCGUGCCCUCCCUCCAUCUUUGCUAUACUCCCAACCAACUCGCUCUCUUCUCUGGUUAUCUGAGUGGUUAAAGGCAUGGGCUGGGGAAGCCUGUUUCUAUCAUUUGAAGACUUUUUCCACCAUGUAAUAAUUCUACCUUGGACAAGUCAUUAAUUUUUCAGGGCUUCCAUUUCUUCAAUUGGGAAAUAGUAGUAUCUUACCUCCUGACCAUCAUAAAUUAUUGUGAAUAUUAAUUGAGAAUAUAUGUAACAUGCUUAGAAUAGUACCUAUCUCAUAAGUACUCAAUAAAUGUUUAAUAAACUGCUUUAUGAUGUUUCUUAAAAAAAAAUCACGUAACCAGAUUAAUAAGUACCAAUACAUGCCCAAAUCUGCAAAGCAAAAUGUAAUCCAACAAACAUCCUCUUUUUUCACUCCUUCCCUAGAUACUGCCUGCUUCAGGGAGACUUUUGAGACAAUACCUUUGUAGGGCCUGAGAACCUCUGAUUACAUCAUAUUAAUUAUUUGUCCUCCUCAUCAGAAGUAGAUAGGAUUAGCAGGCUGACUAAUGUUUAUUAUUUGUAAGGCAGGAAUAGCAAGGAUUUCAUGUGAGCACUUCCCAGAAGACAGACUAGAAGAAACAGGCAGAAGGCAUAAAUAGGCAUCUCACAAGAGAGAAAACAUGGAUGACCAAGAAACAUAUUAGAAGAUGUUCAUCCUCAUUAGUAGGGAAAUGCAAAUUAGAACUACAAUGAAAUAACCUUGCACACCCUUGAAAAUGGCAAAAAUGAAGAAAUUUAACAAUAUCAGAUGUUGGACUAGGUAUUCUUAUGGUGGGCAUGUAAAUGAUACAAUUGCUUUGUGAAACAUUGUGGGGUUUUGUAAACCCAAUAUUCACAUACCCCAGGGACCAGCACCUCCAUCCAUUGAGAGUCUUUCACAUUUUGUCGACCAAACAUAACAAAAAGCACAAAGCUGCAAAUAACCCUAUCCACUGACAGGAGAAUGGAUAAAUAAUGGAUAAAUAGUGGUAUAUUCACCAGAGGAAUAUUUAACACACACACACAGUAAAAUAUAGCUGCAGUAACAACAUGAACGAAUCUUAGAAACACCGUUGAAGGGUAAAGAAAAAACAAGUAAAUGUAUGUAUUAUAAUAACACUUUAAAUAUAUUAAUCUAUUUAAUUCUCAUAAUAUCUCUUUGAGGAAGGUACUAUUGCUCUCAUUUGACAGAUAAGGAAACUGAGGCACAGAGGAAACAGUUACAGAUAAGAAACCAGCUAAUAAGUGGAGGUUGCAGGAUCUAGUUAACAUUUACUACAUGCUUACAUAGUAUCAGACACUGUAUUACCUUGCCCAUACCCACAUUAUCUACUUUAUGAAAGAUGCUCUUAUAAAAUGUCCUUCUUCGUUGUUUUUGUAUUUGCCUGAUAAAUCUUCCUAAAUAAACAUAAUAAGUUAGACUAGAGAAUCCACUGUAUCAUUUGACUUAGCACUCUUCUCUCAAUCCCAUAACCUAAGUGCAAACUCAAUGAAUAGUUUCCUCUUCAUUUAAAUGGUCUUCAGAACCAUUUUCUAGGAUUUGCUUUUGGAAACGAAAUGUAACCCCCAGCCAGUGUCCUAAAUCCCUGAGGCCCUGGAAUUUCCCUACAGCCUACAUUUUUCAGAAUGCCAAUAACUAAGAGAUCUACAAAUGAAGGAAUUCUUCUCCCAAGGGCAACCACACAUGCCACCACCAUCACGACCACCACGCCCCCAAAAUCUCUUCCCGUCUUCUCUCACUUAUACCCUAAGACCUAAAGGAAAGUACCUGAGGAGCUAGAGGAAGGAUUAUUCUUUCCUGCACCACAAUCUUAAGACACAUGCUUGGAAGUUUGUGAUUGAAUAUUGUAUGGGGUGGAGGAGGGGGAAGAGAGCCAGGAAUCCAAAACCUGUGGUUCAGUCCCAACUCUGAUGCUUAGUUGUGGAAUGUUGGGCAAAUCCAUUAACUUCUCUGGGGCUCACUUCCUUCAGUAAUGCACUUCAGUUAAACUUGACAAACAUUUAUUGAAUGCCUCCAGGGUACCAUGCACCCUGCCAAACAUUGGGGUUAUAAGGAUAGAUAAGACCUGAUUGGCCAUAAGAAGAGCUCCCAGCCAUUAAGGAGCUUUCUGUCUAGAGUAGAGGACUGUGGAUUUUGGUGCCUCAGGUGGUGAAGCAGAGUGUGGGUAACCAGGUAGUAGAGAUAUUGCAGAGACUAUACAAUGUCAGUGUACUGCUAUGGUUAAGAGCUCAGCUCUGGGGUCAGUCAUAACUAAACAUAUCCUGGCUAUAACCCUCAAGAGUUCUGUGACUUCAAGCAAGAUUUCUUCUCCUGAAGAAUCAGUUUCUUCAUCUUUAAAACAGAGGUAAUAAUUAUACUGUCUUCAUUUUGAGGAUCAAAUAAGAUAACACAUAUAAAAAUGGAAGGUGAGUCAUGAUCAGUAAAUGUUACCUGUCCUCCUCAUUCUUCCCUUAGCACUGUUAUUACUGUUAUCACAUCAGUUGUUCCUUAACAAGGCAUUGUGACACGGUUUGGAGAUCCAGGAAGUUGUUCAUCAACACUGCUCAGCUCUAGCUAACUCACUGGGGGAAUAAGAUGAACAUUCAGUUCUUGUCCCAAAACCUUUCCUGAAGACAUUGACAUGCAUUAACAGGAUGAUUACUGGCUAGUGCAAAGUGGAAUUUAUCUUCGAGGAGGUUAUUUCUAAAUAUUCUGAAGUAUGAGAGGGGUGUGUAAUUUAGCAUAGCAUAAGCAAGAGGAUAAUUUUAGAUAAGGUGAAGGAUUGUGUUGAUACAUACUUUUGGAAGAUGUUUACGUGAGGAGUGGAUAUCAUGCUAAAUAAAUUUGAUCUAAUAAAUUAGGGCCCAGAAGUUAUAAUGAAAGUGAUUAAUAAAUAUGACUACAAAGCAAUUAUAAUUAAGAAACUCUUCAUGUAUAUUAAAAAUAUAACCUGAAUGAAAUAUAUUUUUUAACAUUUAUUUAUUUAUUCUGAGAGACCGAGCAAGCACACGAGCAGGGGAAGGGUAAAGAGAGAGGGAGAGAGAGAAUCCUAAGCAGGCUUUGUCUGCACUGGCAACACAGAGCCCAACUCAGGGCUCAAUCCCACAAACCGUGAGACCAUGACUUGAGCUGAAAUCAAGAGUCAGACGCUUAACCAACUGAGCCACCCAGGCUCCCUCUGAACAAAAUAUUAUGUGUAUAUAUAUAUGUAUAUAUAUGUAUAUAUAUAUGCGUGUAUAUAUAUAGUGUGUGUGUGUGUGUGUGUGUGUGUGUGUGUAUGGCUGAUUUUGUGACUAUGCAAAGAAUGCUUACAAAUCAGUAAGAUGAUGAAAACUUAAUAGAAAAAAAUGCAAAGGACUUGGACAACAUUCAGGAAAAACACAAAAAUAGCCAAUAGAUGUGGGAAGAUGUUCAACAUCAUUGAUGUGAAAAAAAAGAUAACAUUUUAGCAAAGAUUAAAAAGAGGAACAUAAUCAGUGUUGGUGAGAGUGUGAGGUAACUGGCAUACUCAUAUAUAGUUGGCAUAAACAAGUUAGUGUAACUUUUAUGAAGGAGUAAUUAAUAGUAUCUUUUUAAACAAAAAGUGUAGUAUAACUGACUCAUUGCUAAAAAUUAUCUAAAACAUAUCAUUCAUAAAGGCACUAUAUACACUAUAUAGAAGGAUCUUACUCAGAAUUAUUUGUAAUAGCCAAAAAAAUUCUAUCAAUGACAAACUGUUUAAAAAUGACAGACCCAUGCAAUGAAGAAUGAAGUGCAUAUACUGAUACAAAAUGUUCACAGUAUACUGUUAAAUUUGAAAGACAACUGAAGAACAGUAUGUACACUAUGCUUCUGUUAAUGUGAAGAAGAUAUAAAUAUGUGCACAGAAGUGAUCCAGAAGGAAACACAAGGAAGUUUGAUGUUUUUUACCUCUGGGAAUGCAAGGGAGAUAUGUCUGCCUUUUACUGAAUUGCCUUCUAUACUGUUUGAAAACUUUAUCAUGAACAUGUAUUACUUUUGUAAUAAAAAAAGGAAACAAAACCUUAGUAAAAAUAUCUAAAGAGCAAAUAGGAGCCAUUUCAAUGUGUCUGAAAAUAGUUUUCAUAAGUAAGUUGCUCUCUUAGAAAAUGAAUUUUCCUUUGCAACUCAUAUCAUUAGUUUUUUUUCUCUCCAUUUGAAGGAAGAAUUCCUUUAUUAUUUAGUAAUGAUUACUUUAUGCUGAGCACUAUUUUGAGCAUUCUAAUCAUCACAGUGGUCUACAAUCAUGGGUGGUCAUUAUUAUUAUUCUCACUUAAAGAAAAUGAGGCACAUGAAAGUUAAAUUACUUAACGAAGUUCACAUAAAUAGUAAGCUCUAGAGCUGAGAUUCAAACCCAGAAUGUUUGGCUCCGGAAUCCAUGCCUUAGGCACUAUGCCUGCUCCUUUUGAAGUCCUUAGAAGCUUUGAGUUCUACCUGGAUGAUCUGAUAAUGGGACCUAUGCCUUAUACGGUGAACUCUCCCUGUGGCACCCCAGGUCAAACCUAUCCACUGUUCUGACCCUUUGGAGAACCUAAUAGAGAAACAAGAUGCUGCAAGAGGACAAGAUGAGGCCUUGCUGGGUAUGGAGUAAUAAUGGGGCCUUUUAACAACUCUAAAGGUUGACACAAUACCUCAACACAGAAUAUCUCUGUAGAAAUAUCCUUACUGUUAACUGGAGUCUUCAAAGAUGAAAGGGCUGAUCUGAGUCAGCUGUUAGGUAAAAUGCUGUUGAUCCAUCAGCUAGUGGAGAUUGAGGUUAAGCCAAUAAGGAUUGCUGUAGGGAAUAAAGGCUGAACUCAUUGGCUUAAUUCCAUUGUUUUCAAAGUAUGUCAAGGUAAGGAGGAUUAUUUUUUUUAGCUGCCAAGACAUGAGAAAACAUGCCAUGUCAUCCAAGUUUAUUGAAUGUGAAUGUGUUUCUUGUUGGUGUUUCUUGUUUAGCGUUUUCCUCAAGGGUUACUAAGAAGCUAAAUCAGGGUUCCUUUUUGUAACCCUAGAAGUGGAGUGGUUGAUCAAAUGAUGGGCCCUUUCUUGUUGACGAAUAAAUAGGACAAUAAGAUCAUCUAAUGGUCUUUAAUGCUUUUUGAUCACCCUUCUAACAUGUUGAUAGUGAAAAUUUUCUCCACAUGCAAGGUUCUCUGGGUGUGCAUGUUGCUAGCGGGCAUCCCAGCUGGCAAGCUUAGUAAAGAAGAUUGGUCACCAAAUAGAACUUAUUUGAGGCACUUUUUUUUUCCACCAGCCAUUUUAUUAUUCUUUUAAAUUUUUUUCUGUAACAAUGGAUUUUUUAAUUUUUAUUUUAUUUUUAAUUUUUGAUUUUUAAAAAUUUACAUCCAAAUUAGCAUAUAGUGCAACAAUGAUUUCAGGAGUAGAUUCCUUAGUGCCCUUUACCCAUUUAGCCCACCCCCCCCACAACCCCUCCAGUAACCCUCAGUUUGUUCUCCAUAUUUAUGAGUUUCUUCUGUUUUGUCCCUCUCCCUGUUUUUAUAUUUUUGUUUCCCUUCCGUUAUGUUCAUCUGUUUUGUCUCUUAAAGUCCUCAUAUGAGUGAAGUCAUAUGAUUUUUGUCUUUCUCUAAUUUCACUUAGCAUAAUACCCUCCCAAUUCCAUCCACGUAGUUGCAAAUGGCAAGAUUUCAUUCUUUUUAAUUGCCGAGUAAUACUCCAUUGUGUGUGUGUGUGUGCGCAUACACACACAACACAUCUUCUUUAUCCAUUCAUCCAUCGAUGGACAUGUGGGCUCUUUCCAUACUUUGGCUAUUGACAGUGCUGCUGUAAACAUGGGGGUGCAUGUAUCCCUUUGAAACAGCACACCUGUAUCCCAUGGAUAAAUGCCUAGUAGUGCAAUUGCUAGGUCGUAGGGUAGUUCUAUUUUUAGUUUUUUUGAGGAAAGUCCAUAGUGUUUUCCAGAGUAGCUGUACCAUCUUGCAUUCCUAAUUGAGGCACUCUUGGCAGUUCAUUAUUCUUUGAUGAUUCUGAAACUGGAUGCACAAUUCUGUGUAAGGAAUAACUUGUUUUUCCUUCCUGUGGUUCAUCAUGCAUUGUGGAUGGGUGCCUGGUGAGGGAUAUGGCAUCCUACAGGACUACCAUUAGCAGUAGAAUGUCCAGUGUAGGAACAAAACACAUGUUGAUGGCCAUGGCAGAAAAUCUUGAUUUGAAACAAGGCCUGGGAGAGGUUUUCAGUAAUCCUAUAGAGAUUCAAGUUUUCAGUGUGGAAGGAUUCAGGGAACUCAGCUCCCUGGUUGCUCACCUAAACAGUAAGACACACACUGUUAUUUUAGGUGGUGCCACACAUGUAGAUAAUAGCAUAAAUGAAAGGACUCAGAACUAAAAGUUCUCUUCUGGUGAGGAAAUAAUAAUCUGAGUUGAUUGCUGAUGAAUUGCUGAUGAAAUACAAUUAGGCUGUGUCAAAUCUUCAUCUAGAACUGUGCUGUUCAAAAUGGCAGCUGCUGACCACAUAUGGCUAAAUUUAAAUGAACUAAAAUUAAAAAUUCAGCUCCUCAGUUACCCAAGUCCCAUUUCAAGUGUUCAACACUAUUAAUGGUAGCUAGUGGCUACCAUAAAGGACAGUGAAAAAUUUACCUCACUGUAGGAUGUUCUAUUGAGCAGCACUGAUCUAGAAAAUAAACAAUAGAUCCUCAAAGAUAUUUUAUCAAGAAACACCAUUUUGGUGGUUUGAUUGACCACGCCAAGGAGACCCUAUCUAGUUUUUAUUCUGAACCACUAGAAAUUUGAAUUAGAAAGGAGAGUAGUAAGACCUUAGAUUUUGGUGUGAAUUGUAAAGACUAAUUUUCUCAGUAAAGACACUUUUGUUAGGGAAUCACUAUGGAUAAUAGUCCUAGGCAAGGAGGUGGGAGCAGAGGAUGUGAUGCUCUGAGGUUAGGGUUUCCUCUGAGAAAAACUGUGUGACCCAAUUGGGCAGAAGGAAGUGGUCAGAGGAACUUUUGAUAUUUGCAUAAGGGGUAAGUGUAACUGACCUAGAAUUUCUGGAACUCCCUUUGGCUUAGACCUCCUUUUCUUUCUUUGUAUGCUUAUAUUUGUAAAAAUAAGUUAGGCAUCUUAAAAAGAACAUGAAUCUUAGCUUCCCUUUCUUGUUUAAGAGACUCUUAAUGCCUUCCUCAAAAGCAAAGUGUUAUUUUGUUAGUCUUGUUUCACAAGGCUUUAAAACUUUAAAAGGAAAUAAAGAAAAGGACAUAAAAUAAAGGGCAAUAAUACGUCUCACACUCAUUCAGGAUGUCCCUGGUGACUUGUAGCAUGGGCAUAGAUCUAAACCAUUUUCAACAGAGCCUAGUGAGACAUUAGUUUGCCCCCUUGCACCCUAGUCUUUUGAUGUAGAUUCAUGAACUGAGAAAUUGAGAAGCAAUGAAGACUGACAUCUUCAUCUGUAGGACCUAGGGGGCAGAGACAGGAUAGCUGGGAUCAAAAAUAAUUGAUCGGAGGGUAAGAUCCUUCAUUGAUAUUAGGAAGUAGGUUAAGAGAGAUGUUAAAAAGAACUAUUCAAAGAACAGCUAGAAGGAUUAAGAACAGAGAAACUGGUAGGUAGAGCCAAGAGUUAUCUCUAGUAACUGUGGGUUUUCAUGAGCUGAUGAGAAAGUAAGAGGGUGGCUACUGGGAACAAAAAGGGACUUUCCAAGGCAGCAGUAAAACAUGAAUACUGGACCUUGUUUAAUCUUGCAUAUUUCAUCAUCCUCUCACACAAGUAAAACUUCUAGCAUCCAAUAAAUACCUGUUGAAUGAAUCCUCGGGAAAGAAAAUCACACUGGAUGCAUAAAUUCCUUUAUUGAAAAUAUUGGGCUAGCACUGCAUUACAUAUACUCAAUAUCCAUAAAUGAAGGGCCACACAUUUCUGAUUGGACAAUACUGUUUUAAAUAGAGAACACAGCAUCUGGAUAUGCUCUCACAAGUAUAAUAUCAUGGACUAAACUAGGUAGGAGUGAACUAUAUGCAAAAAGACCAUUUUGUUCAUUAAUAGCAUAUGGUUGCAAAUGGCAUAAAUGGUAAACUUGAUCAUCAUGAGACAUUCCUGAUAUCUCACACCAACACACCAUUUAACGAGCAGAUUAAGGUUAAACUGUCAAUAUGUUGUUAAUCAAGAGUUGUCAAUAAGAGAACCUGGGUGAAAGCACACCAGGCUAUAUAUUUAAGAUUUAAUAGAAUUCAUUUCAACUUGCAUGGAAUGUGAGUAGGGUAAAAUAAUUGCUGAUCUGACAGGAGGCCACUUGGCAUUUGUUCUCUUUUGUAAAUAUUCUAAUAAGAGAAUAAUCAAAAUUAGGAAAUAUUAUGCCAGCUUAAGGCUACAUUCUAAAGAUGGUUUCAUUUUUUUAAAUGCAGGUAUAUAAAUACUACUUGUUAUUUAUGUUCCCUUUCAAAGAUCACAGGAGGUGUAAUUUAUGACAGACCACUUCUCAGCUUUGUCUAUUAUUUAGAAUUUUUUUCCAUUAGCAGUCUUUGGCUUUCAUAAAAGUUUGGCAAUCAGUAAUAUUGUUUAGUUUUUACCAAGGCUUUAUUAGCAUUUUUAACAAAGAAUAUUUUAUGAUGUGAAAAUGGGUUAAUGUUAGAAAUAGUUUUUACUUUUUAUUCCAAUUUUUGUAUGAAUGCAUUUCUUUGCAUUGCUUUUUCUCAAAUGAAAGAGUCUAGAAACCAAGACAAUUGGGCUAAUUUGACAUUUUUCAUUUGGUAUAAAAUAUGCAGAAAUGAAAACAUUCAGUCUCUUUGAAAACAGAGGCCUGUUCAUUAAUUUAAGAACUUGGGGGAAAUUAUGCACAAAACACUAUGAAAAUAAAGUUUUUGUUAUUAACACACAUGAUAUUAUAAGAAGCAAAACACUUUCUGUUCAAAGCAGGGUUUGUUCUAAGUCUAGAUUCAGAAAGGUAUCCAUUUCUGUAAAUAUCAA